rnacentral:rRNA from 1 species
UACGUAGGGUGCAAGCGUUGUCCGGAAUUAUUGGGCGUAAAGAGCUCGUAGGCGGUUUGUUGCGUCGGCUGUGAAAUCCCGAGGCUCAACCUCGGGUCUGCAGUCGAUACGAGCAAACUAGAGUGUUGCAGGGGGAGACUGGAAUUCCUGGUGUAGCGGUGAAAUGCGCAGAUAUCAGGAGGAACACCGGUGGCGAAGGCGGGUCUCUGGGCAACAACUGACGCUGAGGCGCGAAAGCGUGGGGAGCAAACAGG